rnacentral:rRNA from 1 species
AGUGAACGCUGGCGGUAGGCCUAACACAUGCAAGUCGAACGGCAGCACAGGAGAGCUUGCUCUCUGGGUGGCGAGUGGCGGACGGGUGAGGAAUACAUCGGAAUCUACUCUGUCGUGGGGGAUAACGUUGGGAAACUUACGCUAAUACCGCUUACGACCUACGGGUGAAAGCAGUGUCCCUUCUGGCCUUGCGCGAUUGAAUGAGCCGUUCGCGUAUUAGCUGAUUGGCGGGGUAAAGGCCCACCAAGGCGACGAUCCGUAGCUGGUCUGUGAGGAUGAACAGCCACACUGGAACUGAGACACGGUCCAGACUCCUACGGGAGGCAGCAGUGGGAAACAUUGGACAAUGGGCGCAAGCCUGAUCCAGCCAUACCGCGUGGGUGAAGAAGGCCUUCGGGUUGUAAAGCCCUUUUGUUGGGAAAGAAAUCCAGCUGGCUAAUACCCGGUUGGGAUGACGGUACCCAAAGAAUAAGCACCGGCUAACUUCGUGCCAGCAGCCGCCGCGG